AUGUUUAUGAUGAUAACCUUACUCAGCUCACUCAGAGUUUUGACGAUGCUGAUAACAUUUCCUUUUUCCAACAUUCAUCAUUUUAGCUGAUAAUAU
rfam:Candida albicans SC5314 chromosome R sequence.